GAUCAUGGCUCAGGAUGAACGCUAGCUACAGGCUUAACACAUGCAAGUCGAGGGGCAGCAUUUUAGUUUGCUUGCAAACUAAAGAUGGCGACCGGCGCACGGGUGAGUAACACGUAUCCAACCUGCCGAUAACUCGGGGAUAGCCUUUCGAAGAAAGAUUAAUAUCCGAUAGUAUAUUAAAACCGCAUGGUUUUACUAUUAAAGAAUUUCGGUUAUCGAUGGGGAUGCGUUCCAUUAGUUUGUUGGCGGGUAACGG
rnacentral:rRNA from 1 species